AGAGCAGAUCUUGGACUGAGACCUACAGGACACAGGUACUGCUUUUUCUCUUUUAUUUGUUUUAAAUUUUAUUUAUGUUUUUAGAUCAAAUAGUUCAGAUUGCAUUGGUUUUUAAUCUGCUGUUGUUGGAUUAACAUAUGCUUUAAGCGACUCUUAAAUAGGUGGCUCACCAGGAGAAAGGCAUAGCAGAACCUGGACUGAGACCUACGGGAGACAGCAGGCAGACACACAGGAGGUUGGACGUCGAGAGGAGCACAUCAGUGCAAGAACACAUGGGUGGCUGCCACUUCUCUCCCUUUCCUGAGAGGGAAAAACUCUCGACGCUGAGAGGAAUCCACCAACAGGCACCAGCACUCUGGCAGGCCACCGACCAAUGGAUUGACAUAGAGUUUGGCUGGGGCAGCCAGAGGAGAGCCUGGGCCGCUGAAUAACCCGACUUCAGGGGAAAACUAUUCUCCCUUUUGGCUCCCCCAUCUGCUGAGAGCUACUUCCACUCAAUAAAACCUUGCACUCAUUCUCCAA
rnacentral:lncRNA from 10 species